CAGCUCCCGUAGGAGUCCGGAUGAAGUCUACCUGCAAUUGAAGUCGGGGAUGAAGUCCGGCUCCCGUAGGAGUCCAGACGAAGUCUAGAAGGUGGUCGAUCAUCGUGAAAACUUGGGUGGAGUCCGUUCGUCGUGAAGAAUCCAAUCGACGCUGGUGGGAGGCUUAUCCGUCGGUAAAACUUGAGAGUGUUGCAGAGGCUUGGCUGCCAGAGAGGUUCGGAGAGAUGCCGUCGAAGGUCGAAAGUCGGU
rnacentral:lncRNA from 1 species